UACGUAGGUGGCAAGCGUUGUUCGGAAUUAUUGGGCGUAAAGGGCGCGUAGGCGGCUUGUUAAGUCGGCUGUGAAAGCCCUCGGCUCAACCGAGGAAUUGCGCUCUAAACUGUCGCGCUCGAGGAACCUAGAGGUGAGCAGAACUGAUGGUGGAGCGGUGAAAUGCGUUGAUAUCAUCAGGAAUACCGGAGGCGAAGGCGGCUCACUGGGGGUUAUCUGACGCUGAGGAACGAAAGCCAGGGGAGCAAACGGG
rnacentral:rRNA from 1 species